rnacentral:rRNA from 1 species
ACUCAAAUGAAUUGACGGGGGCUCGCACAAGCGGUGGAGCAUGUGGUUUAAUUCGAUGGUAAGCGAAGAACCUUACCUGGGCUUGAACGUGUAGUGACAGUCGAUGAAAGUCGAUCUCCCUUCGGGGCACUAUGCGAGGUGCUGCAUGGCUGUCGUCAGCUCGUGUUGUGAAAUGUUGGGUUAAGUCCCGCAACGAGCGCAACCCCCAUCCUAUGUUGCCAUCAUUCAGUUGGGCACUCUUAGGAAACCGCCCUGGUUAACGGGGAGGAAGGCGGGGAUGACGUCAAGUCCUCAUGGCCCUUAUGUCCAGGGCUACACACGUGCUACAAUGGGGCGUACAAAGGGCUGCCAAGUCGCAAGACCAAGCAAAUCCCAAAAAACGCUUCUCAAUUCGGAUUGGAGUCUGCAACCCGACUCCAUGAAGCCGGAAUCGCUAGUAAUCACAGAUCAGCACGCUGUGGUGAAUACGUUCUCGAGCCUUGUACACACCGCCCGU